rnacentral:tRNA from 1 species
AGGCGCGUAGCUCAGUUGGUUAGAGCGCUACCUUGACAUGGUAGAGGUCGGCAGUUCGAAUCUGCCCGUGCCUACCA